rnacentral:tRNA from 2 species
GCGCUCGUGGCGGAACUGGUAGACGCGCUAGGUUCAGGUCCUAGUGGCCGCAAGGCCGUGGGGGUUCGACUCCCUCCGAGCGCACCA